CCUACGGGUGGCAGCAGUGAGGAAUAUUGGUCAAUGGCCGGAAGGCUGAACCAGCCAAGCCGCGUGAAGGACGAAGGUGCUAAGCAUUGUAAACUUCUUUUGUCAAGGGACAAAAUCAGGCUCGAGAGCCUGACCGAGGGUACUUGAAGAAAAAGCAUCGGCUAAUCCCGUGCCAGCAGCCGCGGUAAUACGGAGGAUGCGAGCGUGACCCGGAUUUAUUGGGGUGAAAGGGUGCGUAGGCGGACUGUUAAGUCAGCGGUAAAAGCACGGGGCUAAACCCAGGAGAGCAAGUGAAACUGGAUGUCUUGAGAAGUGGAGAGGUAUGCGGAACGCGCAGUGUAGCGGUGAAAUGCUGAGAUAU
rnacentral:rRNA from 1 species